rnacentral:rRNA from 1 species
UAAGACGGAGGGCGCAAGCGUUGUUCGGAAUCACUGGGCGUAAAGCGCACGCAGGUGGUCCCUUAAGUCCACUGUUAAAUCACGGGGCUCAACCCCGGAGGUGCAGCGGAUACUGAGGGACUGGAGACUGGUAGAGGCUAGCGGAAUUCCUGGUGUAGCGGUGGAAUGCGUAGAUAUCAGGAGGAACACCGGUGGCGAAGGCGGCUAGCUGGGCCAGUUCUGACGCUCAUGUGCGAAAGCGUGGGGAGCAAACAGGAUUAGAUACCCUGGUAGUCCACGCCGUAAACGAUGGGCACUAGAUGCCGGGCUCUUCGACGAGUUCGGUGUCGUAGCUAACGCAUUAAGUGCCCCGCCUGGGGAGUACGGCCGCAAGGCUG